rnacentral:misc_RNA from 1 species
GAUGAAGAACGUAGCGAAAUGCGAUAAGUAGUGUGAAUUGCAGAAUUCCGUGAAUCAUCGAAUCUUUGAACGCACAUUGCGCCUCCUGGUAAUCCGUGAGGCAUGCCUGUUCGAGCGUCACCAAAAUCAAAUCAACCACUCCGGUGAUUGGUCAUGGAGGAAGAGUCCGUCGUGUUGUGGUCUCCCCUCCCAAAAUAAAUGGCGGAAAGUUGCUGGCACUCGGUGUAGGAGUAUUAUUCGCCGAUUGUCCAGUGUCGUUCCUGGCGUCAAAUCCCCACAAUUAUCUUGAUUGACCUCGGAUCAGGUAGGGAUACCCGCUGAACUUAAGCAUAUCAAUAAGCGGAGGA